CAGUCGGGAAUUUUGCGCAAUGGGCGAAAGCCUGACGCAGCAACGCCGCGUGAGGGAUGAAGGCCUUCGGGUUGUAAACCUCUUUUCUCAGGGAAGAUUAUGUCGGUACCUGAGGAAUAAGCCACGGCUAACUACGUGCCAGCAGCCGCGGUAAUACGUAGGUGGCAAGCGUUGUCCGGAUUUACUGGGCGUAAAGAGCGCGCAGGCGGUCGGUCAAGUCGAGUGUGAAAGCCCCCGGCUCAACUGGGGAGGGUCACUCGAAACUGAUCGACUCGAAGGCGGGAGAGGGAAGUGGAAUUCCCGGUGUAGUGGUGAAAUGCGUAGAUAUCGGGAGGAACACCAGUGGCGAAGGCGACUUCCUGGCCCGUUCUUGACGCUGAGGCGCGAAAGCUGGGGGAGCGAACGGGAUUAGAUACCCCGGUAGUCCUAGCCGUAAACGAUGGACACUAGGUGUUGGUGGUAUCAACCCCACCAGUGCCGAAGCUAACGCAUUAAGUGUCCCGCCUGGGGAGUACGGCCGCAAGGCUA
rnacentral:rRNA from 1 species